GAUUCAAAUUCAAGCGCCAACGGAACACAACACAUUCAGUGCUAGCUGCCUCAAGAGAUCCGACGAGACGGAGUUUCUUUCAAUAAAGUUAUGCUGCAGGUCACCACUGCACGUGAAUGCACAACUGAUGGAUCUCUCUGCAUGAACAAGGGUCAUUGGAAAACCACACAACUACAACGAAGAUGGGAAUUCUUGAAACAGUAAGCAGCAGCCACUUAAUAACAGCCCUGUCAACUGUGCUGAAUGUCUGCUGUCCUGGAAGAGGAGAUGGUGCUCGACAGCUUUAUGCUUUUGGAUUAUUGUAUCCAAAAGUUCCUCUUGAAGAUUUUUUUCAUUUGUGUCAACUGGGUUAAGUAAUCCAUUGUUAAGAUUUGAUGGUGUUUUUUAUGCUUUUUGGUGGGACACAAAAUGCUAGACUGGGACAGUGACAGAUUGUGGCCUAAACCCAGCCAUGGUCCAGAACCUCAACCAGAUCUAUUCAUUCUGCUGGGUUUCUCUGCAGGCAGGAGCGGAUCAGGCUGCAACACUUCUGCUCAUUUACAUCUAUUCUAAACUGU